rnacentral:rRNA from 1 species
GAUCAGUGGCUCGAGGACGACGCUGGCGGCGUGCUUAAACACAUGCAAGUCGAACGGAAAGGCCCCCUUGUGGGGUACUCGAGUGGCGAACGGGUGAGUAACACGUGAGUAACCUACCCUUGACUUUGGGAUAACUUCAGGAAACUGGGGCUAAUACCGGAUAGGAGCUCCUGCUGCAUGGUGGGGGUUGGAAAGUUUCGGCGGUUGGGGAUGGACUCGCGGCUUAUCAGCUUGUUGGUGGGGUAGUGGCUCACCAAGGCUUUGACGGGUAGCCGGCCUGAGAGGGUGACCGGCCACAUUGGGACUGAGAUACGGCCCAGACUCCUACGGGAGGCAGCAGUGGGGAAUAUUGCACAAUGGGCGGAAGCCUGAUGCAGCAACGCCGCGUGCGGGAUGACGGCCUUCGGGUUGUAAACCGCUUUCGCCUGUGACGAAGCGUGAGUGACGGUAAUGGGUAAAGAAGCACCGGCUAACUACGUG